GCAAGCUGAGGACGGCGUUCAAUGCUUGACGUUGGGCGGAACCAGCAAAGCUCAGGCCGCCCACCGACCUCAACAUCAGACCCUUCAGGCUCUGCGGGGCGAGCCUGACGGGGACGCCCCGCUGCGUCUGACGUCAGCUCGCCGACGCGGCGCGGGUUGGGGUGAAUCCAGGAGGAGACCCGUUCCUCUCUGGACCUCGACCUGCAGGUGGGAAGGGGAAAGAGUGGCAAGCGGCAGUCAAUAAAAGCCGAACAAGCCAGGCGUUGGUGGCGCACGCCUUUAAUCCCAGCACUCGGGAGGCAGAGCCAGGUGGAUCUUUGUGAGUUCGAGGCCAGCCUGGGCUACCAAGUGAGUUCCAGGAAAGGCGCAAAGCUACACAGAGAAACCCUGUCUCGAAAAAAAAAACCCAAAUCAAAGCCGAACAAAAGAAGCCAGGCUGGGAUUCGGCUGUGUCAACUGGACAGUGGAUGAAAUUUAAAAAAGAAAGAAAGAAAAGGAAAAACUGUUUUCUUACAGUAGCUAACACCUGUUGAGCGGCUGCAGCUUACCAAGCACCGCCUGCCUGUGAAGAUGGCCCUUCCUAUGGUGACAGAUAAGAAAUUAAUAAUUCACUACGGGGCAGUUACUAAAGAAAUGCCCCGUGACAGACUGGAAGCAGCUCUCGAACCCUCGUCCCUAGCUAAGGAGCUAGGGACAAAUGGCUUCUGGGAGCUAGAGAGUCAGUUGUCUUUCAGGGUGUGGCCAUGCUCAAAUGGAUGACGCAACGUCCAUGAGACUGACAGAAAAAAAAGUGGACUCGGUAUUUUGUUGUUUGUUUUGAUUUUUUAGGUCUGGAGAGGUAGGUUGGUGGUUAAGAACACUGGCUGCUAUUCCAGAGGACCCGGGUUCAAUUUCCAGCACCCACAUGGUGGCUCACAACCUUCUUAGGGAGUUCAAAAGAAACAGAACAUCGUCUACGGCCAUACCACCCUGAACGCGCCCGAUCUCGUCUGAUCUCCGAAGAAACAGAACAUCGUUGGACAUGAAAAGUACGGGAGUUUGAACAUGUUUAUUUUUCAGAUACCAAGAGCUACAGAACAGCCCCAACCCACUGAUGAAUGUUUUAAUGUCAAUAAACUUCUCAAACCCA